rnacentral:rRNA from 1 species
GCAAGUCGAGCGAGCUUGCCUAGAUGAAUUUGGUGCUUGCACCAGAUGAAACUAGAUACAAGCGAGCGGCGGACGGGUGAGUAACACGUGGGUAACCUGCCCAAGAGACUGGGAUAACACCUGGAAACAGAUGCUAAUACCGGAUAACAACACUAGACGCAUGUCUAGAGUUUAAAAGAUGGUUCUGCUAUCACUCUUGGAUGGACCUGCGGUGCAUUAGCUAGUUGGUAAGGUAACGGCUUACCAAGGCAAUGAUGCAUAGCCGAGUUGAGAGACUGAUCGGCCACAUUGGGACUGAGACACGGCCCAAACUCCUACGGGAGGCAGCAGUAGGGAAUCUUCCACAAUGGACGCAAGUCUGAUGGAGCAACGCCGCGUGAGUGAAGAAGGGUUUCGGCUCGUAAAGCUCUGUUGGUAGUGAAGAAAGAUAGAGGUAGUAACUGGCCUUUAUUUGACGGUAAUUACUUAGAAAGUCACGGCUAACUACGUGCCAGCAGCCGCGGUAAUACGUAGGUGGCAAGCGUUGUCAGGAUUUAUUGGGCGUAAAGCGAGUGCAGGCGGUUCAAUAAGUCUGAUGUGAAAGCCUUCGGCUCAACCGGAGAAUUGCAUCAGAAACUGUUGAACUUGAGUGCAGAAGAGGAGAGUGGAACUCCAUGUGUAGCGGUGGAAUGCGUAGAUAUAUGGAAGAACACCAGUGGCGAAGGCGGCUCUCUGGUCUGCAACUGACGCU